AUGAGACAAAGAAGAAGCAGGACUGUGUGUUUUAAAGAGAGAUUACACUUGACAAAGAAUCAGAGAGGGAUAUCCCAGGAAAAGGGGUGUAUUUGCCCCAAAAUGAGUUCCAGUGAGGACCAUGAUGAUGAGCAUCUGGGCUCGAUCCAGGAAAAGAGAUCACACUCUCCUACCCCCACCUGUGUGUCCAUGAAGAGUGUCCGGUCCAUG